UAUGGACAAAGCAGCACGGGCAUUGUGUAGUAGUUUUUCUUUCCUGCCCUUUUCCAGCUGGAAGAUAUUUUGGCAUAUAAUUGUCUGCAGCCUAUAUCUUAACAAAAUCUUCUUAGGGGGGCUUUAAAAGCAACAAAAUAAAAUCCAAAUUUUACUUUUCUUUCUUUAGUGAAAAAGAAGCCUAUCUCCAAAUUCCAAUAUAAAAAACAAUAACAUAAAACAUGAUUGUAUGCAAUGAAAUUCCCCAGCUGCUUUACUGACUGCUGCUGAUAGGAAGCUAUAGAUUGAUUUGCUGCACAUCAGGGGAACUCUCUUUGGAACAGCAUGGACACAUUGUGCAGGGAUAUAUUGAUUUUUGCUUACUCUAAGGGCUAAGCUCUGUAAUAAACCUCUGCACCUGCACACACCUUCCUUCCCAGCCAUUCAAAACCCUGGCAGAUCUGUUUGUUUCAACUAUCGACCUGUGCAGGAGGCCACAUAUAAAGAUGUGUCGAAACUAUGGCCACAUCCUGCAUUUGAUUGAACGAUGAACAACCAGACUAAGGAACUAAAGUAAAACUUGGCAAGAAAUGAAGUGAGUGCACCUUUUCCAGCUUGAUAACUAAUGGCACAACUAUCAAGGUGUUAAAACUCUGUAGAAGAACUGAAGAGCUCAUCCAUGGAAACCUGAAGCUGUGUAGUACUGGUUAUUCACCAGUGAGCCUAAAUGCAUAUAAUGGGUUGCAAUUAUCUUGCAGUCUCAUAUCAACUGCAGGUAUAAAUCUGGAUGAUCUUCCUGACCUAAAGCUGAUUUUGGGUGCCAGGAUAGCCAGUUUUUCCCAAGUUAGACAGACCCAGCUGAAUCCACAAAGGGAUACCAGGAGCCUU